AUUAAACGGCGCUUUUUUUUUUUUUUUCAGGGUUCCAACCUGGUUGGUCUUCUUCUACGUUUUGGUGAUGAGGAAUGAGAAAGAGUGAGAGAAAUACUACCUCCUCCUCUUCCGUUUGCGAUCCAGGCAAGCGUUUUUCGCCAUGCCUCUUAAUUCCAGCUGCUUAGCUAAUUAUGUUAAGAUAUUAAACCGCUUUGAGUAGGAGCAAACAGAAACCGGAGAAAAGAGAGAGCAGGGAGGGAGAGAGAGGAAGAAGACAACAAAGGCAAGAGGAUUCUUUUUUUUUUGAUAGAUUUGCUGUUUAUAUGCUUUAGUUCAGUAUUAUACUCAACGAUUACAAUGUCAAAUUUCAUUAAUCCUCUUAACUGUUGUAAGUAAUCCUGUUAUUUCCUGAGCAACAAUCAGUUUGUUAUUUAUAACUCCAAUUCCUGCCCAUCAGAUCUCCCUCUGUUGGAAACACCCUUGUCCUCAAGGGUAUGGAAGUUGGGAUAAUCUUUUGUAGAUCAUACAAAUAGACAAUGUGGCAUCUUCGAUAGGGAUAGCAGUCCAGAAGUUGAAUAGCAGCUACUUGGCCUCGUAGGUUGGGGUUUGCCUAUGGCUUCUGGAAGGGGUAGAGUAAGUGUGGGUGACUGGUUUGGAUUAAGGUUGCAUAUGGAAGCUAGGUGGAUUGAUGUCGAAGAGGGAAAGUCAAGGUGGUAAGCAGCUGUCAGUGCCAACAGUAAGCUGUUAAAGGUUUACCAGAGACGUAGAACUGUGUUGUGAAGUUAGAGGAUGUGCAUACAUAAUAUGUGUGUUUAAUGUUGUAUACAAAAAAUAAAUGUAAGGCCCAUCAAUCUAUUAUUCUGUUAACAGAUUAUGAUUCCAAGUCAACACUAAAUAGGUUGAUCUUGGAAGGCAGUAGCAUGUAGUCUCACAUUCAAACUACUUAUGCUCCAUGAGCCGACCGCUUUUCUACAAAUGGUAUUCUAAGGUAUAAAAGCAUGAUGGUGAUAGGAUCCAGUCCGGACCUCAGAGAGAUAAUCAUGCAACACGUUAUAACUUGGUGAUGCAGGAGCAUUCUGCCUUAAGCCUACUUAUGAACGUCUUAAGCAACAUUUCUAUUGGCAAGCAACAACUUAUGGAAUGGAUACAAUGCUGUGAGCUUUGCCAGCGGAAGAAGUACCCCUGACAGGACUGUUGCAGCCCCACACUGUUCCCACCUAGGCUUGGAUGCAUGUCUUUUUGGAUUCACUGAACAACUGCCUAAGGCUUUAAUUUACCUAGAGAAUGUUCACCAACUUCAUGGGAUUCCUAAGGUGUUAGCAUCAGAUUGGGAUAAAAUUUUUACAAGCCUGUUUUGGACGGAAUUAAUGAAACUUUCAGGGACAGCCUUGCAUUUCUGUUUGGCAUGCUAUCUGCAAACAAAUGGGCCAACAGAAUGCUUGAACCAAUAUUUGGAAAUGUAUUUGAGAUGUAUGGCUCAUCAAAAGUUGAAGGGUUGGGCUAAGUGUUUGGCACUAAUGAAAUGGUGGUACAACAAAACUUAUCAUUCUAGUUUAAAGAUGACUCUUUUCCAGGCACUGUAUGAUUAUGCUCCUCUUCAAUUCUUGGAUACUGUGUAUAUCCAAACCCCAUCUCAGACAGUGGAAGAGUUUUUGAUGGAAAGACAGCGGAUAAGCCGGGGAAGCAACUAUUAUUUAAAGCUUAGCAGAGAAUCAAUCAGUUUUCAAAUAGCAACCACAGUGGGAGGCAUUUCAAUGAACAAAAACUAGCGUUAUUGACGACGUAGCCUUUUUUCCAAGGGUCAGUUUGAAAGGGGAACACAUCCAAGCUAUCUCCCUAUUUCUCUAGGUCUUUUGAGAUUUUGCAGAAGAUCGAAGAGGUCACAUAUAAUCUGAAACUGCCCGAUAAUUCUCGAUUCCACCAAAUGUUCCAUAUGUCACAACUGAAGAAAUGUCAGGCAAGCAUAUAUAUUUUGUAGAACUUCCUAUUAUGGAUUCAGAAGGGACUAUUGUGGUAACUCCGGAAAGAAUUUUGCAAAGCAGGAAAGUUAUCAGGAAUGGAAAAGAAGUAGAACAAGUACUACUGUAAUGGAUGGGAACGGUUGUGGACUAAUUGCACUUGGAAAGACCGGGAGUUUCUAUGUCAGCAAUUUCCACAUCUCAACCUUAGGGACAAGGUUGCUGUUCAAGGGGAGGGUAUUAUCAAUGCCAAUAGUAAGCCGUUAACAGUUUAUUAGAGAUGUAGGGCUGUGUUGUGAAGUUAGAGGUAUGCAUGUGGGACAUGUGUGACUUUACCGUUGUAUACAAGGAAUAAAUUUUGGGCCCAACAAUCUGUUAUUCUGUUAACAGAUUAGGAUUCCAAAUGAACAAUAUAAAUAGGUUGAUCUUGGAUGGUAGUAGCAUGUAAUCUCACAUUCAAAAAAACUUAAAACAGUCCAUCUCCAAAUUCUCUCAAUCUCCUUCUUAAUUCCUCCCUUGAAUCUAUCUCUCUUCUCUAUAUCUCUCUCUAGCUUUGUGGUCUGUUCUCUAUGCUGUCGGAGCUAAUGUCCAGAGCUUUUGACAGCAGCAUGGCUGAUUUUAGCUAAGAUGUGGUAGGGACCAUAGUAGAUAGGAAAUAGUCUAUCGCUGAGUCGUUUGUGGAGAGAUAAUUGGUGGUACCAUUGAAGUUUAAUGUAGACAUAGUCGCCAGGGGAAUGCGGCUGAUCAGACCAAACCUUUUCUGGUUGCUGUUUCAUAUGAUUCUAAGCAUUGGUCACAUAAUGUUUGAGAAGGUUUAAAGUGCAUUCACUGUUCGUGAUGAAGAGGUUCACUGCUUUAGUGGUGGAAUCCCCAGGAAAUAUGGAAGAUAUAGGAUCUCGAACUGUAUGGGCUUAGUUAUGGGGAAUAGGUGUUAUAUCAUCAUUCUGCAGGGGAAAUCCCGAUGGUGGUUAGGAUCCUCAUUAACCAUACAACUUAUACAAGUGCCUAAACAGCUGUUCACGAUUUUAAUUUGGCCAUCUUUUUGAAUAUAUUAAGCUGUGGAGUUCAGGAGUUCAAUGCCCUAUAACCAAAAGAAGUCUUUCAAAAACUUGUUUAGAAAGAUGGUUCCUGUUCACCGUUGUUGCUGGUAGGGAGACCUUGGAGGUUAAAAGCAUUAUCCAAAUAACAUUGAGCAUACUUGGUGGCCAAAUAAAGAUGUUCAGGGGCAUGAAACUAACAUAUUUGGUCAAAUGGUCCACCACAAGAAAAAUGGAAUCCUUGCCAUGAGAUUGGAAAUCCGUUGAUGAAAUUCAUGCUGAUACUAGUCCUUUAUAUUCUCAGGAAUAGGCAGGGGUUGUAGGAGGCAUGGGGAAGCUACAUUUUCUGGUUGAUGUUGUUGGCAAACAGGGCAUUAGCAAACAUAACCCUAGAUGUCCUUGUCCAUUCAUUUCCACAGUAUUCAAGCUUCACUUUGCUUCUGGGUAGCAUUGACGUUGAGUGGCCACCAGAAGGAUUAACGUAAAGCUAACAAGCAAAA